rnacentral:rRNA from 1 species
AUGAACGCUGGCGGCGUGCUUAACACAUGCAAGUCGAACGGGAUCCAUCAAGCUUGCUUGGUGGUGAGAGUGGCGAACGGGUGAGUAAUGCGUGACCGACCUGCCCCAUACACCGGGAUAGCUCCUGGAAACGGGUGGUAAUGCCGGAUGCUCCAGUUGAUCGCAUGGUCUUCUGGGAAAGCUUUCGCGGUAUGGGAUGGGGUCGCGUCCUAUCAGCUUGACGGCGGGGUAACGGCCCACCGUGGCUUCGACGGGUAGCCGGCCUGAGAGGGCGACCGGCCACAUUGGGACUGAGAUACGGCCCAGACUCCUACGGGAGGCAGCAGUGGGGAAUAUUGCACAAUGGGCGCAAGCCUGAUGCAGUGACGCCGCGUGAGGGAUGGAGGCCUUCGGGUUGUAAACCUCUUUUAUCGGGGAGCAAGCGAGAGUGAGU